rnacentral:rRNA from 1 species
UACGGGGGGGGCAAGCGUUGUUCGGAAUUACUGGGCGUAAAGGGCUUGUAGGUGGCCAACUAAGUCAGACGUGAAAUCCCUCGGCUUAACCGGGGAACUGCGUCUGAUACUGGAUGGCUUGAGGUUGGGAGAGGGAUGCGGAAUUCCAGGUGUAGCGGUGAAAUGCGUAGAUAUCUGGAGGAACACCGGUGGCGAAGGCGGCAUCCUGGACCAAUUCUGACGCUGAGGAGCGAAAGCCAGGGGAGCAAACGGG